rfam:Salmo salar isolate Sally breed double haploid chromosome ssa09, whole genome shotgun sequence.
UGCAGCCUUGUCUCAUUCAGUUCUUCCUCUAAAAUGGACCGCACUGGCCAAAAUGGCUGCCACAGUUCAUGGGCCCCAUGUAACUUUUCCAUGGAUGUUGGGGAUAAAUUUGUACUACUGACAAUU